AGGUUAAGCUAAUAAGAGCACACGGAGGAUGCCUAGGCGCCAGGAGCCGACGAAGGACGUGGCGAACAACGAAACUGCCUCGGGGAGCUGUAAGCAAGCUUUGAUCCGGGGGUGUCCGAAUGGGGAAACCCAGCUGUGGUAAUUCGCAGUUACUCAUACCUGAAUACAUAGGGUGUGUAGAGGCAGACCAGGGGAACUGAAACAUCUAAGUACCCUGAGGAAGAGAAAACAAUAGUGAUUCCGUCAGUAGCGGCGAGCGAACGCGGAACAGCCUAAACCAAGGGGCUUGCCUCUUGGGGUUGUGGGACGUCUCACAUGGAGUUACAAAGGAAUAUGGUAGGUGAAGAGGUCUGGAAAGGCCCGCGAUAGAGGUAAAAGCCCUGUAACCUAAACUGUAUUCUCUCCGAGACGGAUCCCGAGUAGUGCGGGGCACGUGAAACCCCGUAUGAAUCCAGCAGGACCAUCUGCUAAGGCUAAAUACUACCUGGCGACCGAUAGUGAAACAGUACCGUGAGGGAAAGGUGAAAAGCACCCCGGAAGGGGAGUGAAAUAGAACCUGAAACCGUGUGCUUACAAAAAGUCAGAGCCCGAUCUAUGGGUGAUGGCGUGCCUUUUGUAGAAUGAACCGGCGAGUUACGUUUAACAUGCAAGGUUAAGCCGAGAAGGUGGAGCCGCAGCGAAAGCGAGUCUGAAUAGGGCGAUUGAGUAUGUGGACGUAGACCCGAAACCGUGUGAUCUACCCCUGUCCAGGGUGAAGGUGCGGUAACACGCACUGGAGGCCCGAACCCACGUACGUUGAAAAGUGCGGGGAUGAGGUGGGGGUAGCGGAGAAAUUCCAAUCGAACUCGGAGAUAGCUGGUUCUCCCCGAAAUAGCUUUAGGGCUAGCCUCGGUAUAAGAGUAGUGGAGGUAGAGCACUGAUUGGGUGCGGGGUCCGCAAGGAUUACCAAGCUCAGUCAAACUCCGAAUGCCAUAUACUUAUUGCCGGGAGUCAGACAGUGAGUGCUAAGAUCCAUUGUCAAAAGGGAAACAGCCCAGACCAUCAGCUAAGGUCCCCAAGUGUGUGUUAAGUGGGAAAGGAUGUGGAGUUGCACAGACAACCAGGAUGUUGGCUUAGAAGCAGCCACCAUUGAAAGAGUGCGUAAUAGCUCACUGGUCGAGUGACUCUGCGCCGAAAAUGUAACGGGGCUAAACACACCACCGAAGCUAUGGCUAGAUACGUAUGUAUCUGGGGUAGGGGAGCGUUGUGUAGGGGUUGAAGGUGUACUGAAAAGAGCGCUGGACACUACACAAGUGAGAAUGCCGGUAUGAGUAACGAAAAGAUCAGUGAGAAUCUGAUCCGCCGAAAGCCCAAGGUUUCCUGAGGAAGGCUCGUCCGCUCAGGGUAAGUCGGGACCUAAGGCGAGGCCGAAAGGCGUAGUCGAAGGACAACAGUUUGAAAUUACUGUACCACCGUAAUCCGCUAUGAGCGAUGGGGUGACGCAGGAGGGUAGUGACGCGGACUGAUGGAUGUCCGUCUAAGCAGUGAGGCUGAUGUGUAGGCAAAUCCGCACAUCGUUAAGGCUGGGCUGUGAUGGGGAGCGAAAAUUAUAGUAG
rnacentral:rRNA from 1 species